UACUAACUCUGAAUAAACCAUUUUUUUUAAAAUUUCUAGGAAAAGUGUAACUCAGGGGUGCAGUGCCUGCCUGGUAAGCAUCAUGUCCUGAGUUUGAUUACUGGCAUUAGAACAAAAAAAGAUUGAAGAGUGCAAAAUUGUUCAAGAAAAAAGAACAUUUUAAGCAAUGACUGUACCUUUGAAUAGCCACAAACAUCAGCAAUACACCUAUCCCAGAAAGAGACUACAUUUCUCAAUCAUCUUUUAAGGAGAAAUACGAAUGUGUAACAACAAGCUCUGAAAUUAUACUGCAAGUUGGUAGUUGCACGUAUUUAUUCUAUAACUUGUUUUACCCUUUGAUGCAAGGCUGUUGCAUGGGUUGUUAAAUUUCCUGUGUUUCCAGAGCAAACUGGCAGCCAAAUAAACAAAUAUUUGAAUCAUCUGACCGAUGUUGAAAUUUGGGUGCAUUUAAACGGACUGUUCAAUGUUCAGUCAAAUAAGGAGACCACUCCUGUCAUUCAGAAUAUCACACUGUUACUCGGAAAUGAUCGCAGAAAAGAUCGGUAAGAGAUCUUUGGAACCGAGAGCAAGCUGCACUAAUGAGUCUCCUGAUGCUGUCCCGGCGAUGGGCCCCGCAGAAUCCCAUCAAUAA
rnacentral:lncRNA from 1 species